rnacentral:rRNA from 2 species
GGGUUCCGUGAAAUGGGUUCGGGCUUUGCUUGCGCAGGAUAGGUGGGAGACGUUGAAGCAUCUCUUGUGGGAGGUGUGGAGUCAACGGUGAGAUACCACUCUGGCAGAGCUAGAAUUCUAACCCUUACCCGUUAUCCGGGGAGGGAACAGUAUCAGGUGGGCAGUUUGACUGGGGCGGUCGCCUCCUAAAAGAUAACGGAGGCGCGCAAAGGUUCCCUCAGGCUGGUUGGAAAUCAGCCGAAGAGUGCAAAGGCAUAAGGGAGCUUGACUGUGAGACUGACAAGUCGAGCAGGGUGAAACACGGCCUUAGUGUCCGACGGCUAUGAGUAGUGCCGCGAUUACCGACAACC